AUUUUAGUGAUGACUUGUGUGUGUCAUAUAUAUGUAUCAUAAAAAUUGCCAGGACAAGCAGAAAAGUGUAUUCCAUUCUCUUUAAUCUACUCUACUCUUUCUCGAUACAAGAAAAGGAUAUGUAAUAUAUUAGCAGCUAAUCACCUAAGAAGCACAACAGAAAAAUCAAAGAAAAUGAAAAAAACCAAGAAAAAAAAAUAAUAUCAUACAAAGCUUUAGCAAAGCAAAUUAGCAAAAGGAGAGAGAAAAGC
rnacentral:misc_RNA from 1 species